GCUUUGUUCACUUCCUGUUCAUUUCCUGAUUCAGCUUAAAAGGCCCCCUCAGUGAGCAGGUGAACUUUUGCUCGUGUGACUCAGCAGAAGCCUGUGGAAAAACAAUACUAACACCAGGGAGUAACGGAGCAGCCGGAGAGAACUGUUGAGAUGAAGAGCUGCAGAAAACAAGUUAACACACCUCCAUCUUCUUAGCAAGGAGCUGUCAGCAGGUCGAGCGCAGGCCGCUCAGAGUGCAGAUGACAGGUGGAAGAGCAGAGCGGCUGCACUGGAAUGAAAAUGGCACGGCCCCGGACAGCACGGCGACGACACGUUUCAAGAGGCUCGCUGGUUCAGAGGCAGGAGAUGCUGUCCAGAUGCCUCUUUGCAGCGUUCAUUCCAUGAGUCAGAGUGUCGAUCACUGGUAGUGAGUGAGUGAGGGGGGAAGGGACAGUGUGUUUUUUUUUCUUCCAAGCUGUGAUCUUCAGGCUUCUGCUUUGGCAAGACAAUGGCAGAUGGGAAUGCAUCGAUAUUAGCAGAGGCCCUCUGCGUGCACAGACACGCCAUGCAGAGUUCAAGGGUGUCAUGCUCCUUCUCUGACUCUGCUGCUGUGUAACGUUUGUGUUCAGUUUCCAUCAUCGAGCCUCUUCUGUAAGCCUUUAAGGCAUCAAAAACAUGUCUCUACAUAUUCUUUAAUUUUUCCCUAGUGAUCCUCGGGGGUUCUUCUGAUACAACAUCUUCAAUUUUUACAGAAUUCAGCCGCAAAUCUUUGUGUGCUUUCUAUUCAGACACAACUCAAAGACAGGGCCAGUUGUUGUUCUGAGGCGAAAACCCCCAAAACACCUGCUUCAUCAUUAACAUAAGAAGCAGCAACAGGCUCAUUUUAAGCUCUGACAUAAAUUAACUUGUGUCCUUCUUAAUAAAAGCGCCAUAUCUGGUUUCUGGAGGACAGCGAUCCGUUGGGACUAAUGCAUUUUCCUCCUGCUGAAGGCCGUGCUGCCGACGACAGAGACGUUUCACACAGGCUCUUGAAAAUGGCAGCCCCUUCACUUGCUCUUAAUCCAGAUAUUUCAAUCUUGACACUUUUAUGGGUGGACAGUCAAAGUUGCACUGCAGUGGAACAAAACAACCCCCCUCCGUUACAGUAGCCGGGGAAUUUGGCUGCAGUGGAGAGACGCAGAUGUGGAAGAUCACAUUUCAGAUGAGCACUGAUAUAUCAAAAGAAAAAACAAGCCUCUGCAACAGCUCUGUGGGAAGGUAUGUUGCACGCUCUCCAUAGGUUAACACAUUUUUGAUGACAUGUUAAGAAAUCUACUCGGUUAAAAAGACGGAUCUUUAGAUGGGUCGACAUGGCGAGACAGCUGAAAUCUUGAAAUAGCUGACAUGCCUGUUGUGGCGGUGUGUUUUCAUCCACCUAUGGCGCCCUCACCGCUAAAAUCUUAGUCACCACAAGUGGAUUGACCUCGCUUUGUAACCCGAGACGUAGUUGUACUUUGGAAUUCACAAACUUUCAUCUCUGCAGUCAAAACCUUUCAUCGCAAAUGGCUCGGCGUCUUGAUCUGCCGUCAGUUAUCUGCCACGAAAAGUAAACAGUGCACACACUUAGAGAAAUAUGGAGUAACAGAGACACUGAGAAACAUUUUAAUUAUGGGAAAGUCACUAACGCUUAAUGUGUUUAAAGGAUUCACAGCUCCAGACCGUGACUAGACGGAGGUUUUAAGAUCGUUUGAAAAGAAGAAACAACUCCAGUGAAAAUAUUUGAUUCGAAGUUGAACUAAAGGAAGUUCUUCUAGAAAAUCAAUUCAAGUCUCAAAUGCAAAAGUAUUCAGGCUGUAAGAGAAGAAAGUAGAUGUCUCAAAUGUAUGCAAAAUCACACAAAAGCAUUAAACUCUGUCCUUCCUCUA